rnacentral:tmRNA from 1 species
GGGGCUGUACCGGAUUCGACUGUAGAAGAAAGGGAAGACAUAAGCAUACCGAAGGCUCGGCUUCGUUAAAACGGAAAAUCUUUAAAAUUAAAUGCUGAUAAUAAUCAAUUAGCAAUGGCUGCUUAAUUAAAAGCACCGGUCUUUACGGGGAGUGCCGUCGGCCCCGAUAAAGGCAUGAUUUCAGACGGCGAACGGCUAAAAAGUUUUGAUUGCGGCUUUUUAGCGGAAUGUAGCAAUAUACGGCUUUGUAGGGGAGUUUUACCGCCUACGAGGAAAGAGAUUAACGUAAAACUAAGUAUGUAGAAGGUCUUUCGGUUUUUUUGCAACACGAGGGUUCGACUCCCUCCAGUUCCACCA